rnacentral:lncRNA from 1 species
CAGAUAUUCUCCGAAUGCAAGAUAUCGUGGUGGCAUGCUCAACUCGUCUUGAUUUCAUUCAUCUUAAAUUAACGACUGUUAACAUUUGUAACGUUUUUAAUAGCUUUUUUAAUUGCAUAUUAUCUUAUUACACCAUGGUGUGCGCCUGGCUAGGGCUAUUCCCAUAGAAUAUAAUCCAUUCUAUGUCUAUGGCUAUUCAAACAGGGAGAACGCUGCCAGCGAUAGUCAAAUUGUUUGCUGAGCUGAGACGAAAAUAACUCAUCCAGGACACCAACGAGUACUACUGCGAGUACGACUCAACAUGGGAGGAUCCAACAAGUGAAGAAACAAGUCGUAAGAGAACCAACAAUGUAAGUAUUCAGGCCCCUUGGCCCUGAUGAUACGUUGGUGCAUGUGGCCUCAGCUGAUGAGUUUGUAAAGUUUCAGAGAAUGAUGAUGAUACAGUAGGCCUAGGUUCCACCAUGAAAUACAGCUGGGAUUAAAUAAAUGUAAUAUUCAAAAGAAACAUUUACAUAUGAAAUAUUUGUUAAAUGUAAAUAACCAUAAUGACAUGAUGAGUAGGCUAAUUAGGCUGUAGAUUGGAGUUUAGGAUCAAUGGUUUUCUGUGAUGUUGAAGAUCUGUGUGUGUUUAUUGAAUUAGGCCUAUAUGAAAUACUUGAUCCGAGGCUCCACCUCUUGUACCCUCUCAUAGCCCCAAGUCUGUAGAGCAUUGUUAUACAUAUGUAUCAUUAUGUUUCAAUACUGUCAUUUUGCUCCACUUCACAUUGCUUGAAGGGGCUAGCAGCAGUUGCUACAUUCAUAUUUGUACUUAUAAAUUAAUGAUAUGUACCCAUUGAUUCUUGAAGAAUAUAACUUAUAAAUGAUUUGUGAGCUUAGUUCAACUGUCAUACCCAACCAGAACCUCAAAAUAUAAGCUUGUUUAACUCCAAUGUUUGUAAACAAAGUAAAUGUAAACACACAUGGUUAAAACUGGGAUGUUGAUAUAAUGGAUGGUCAGCUCAUCCAUAGCUCUGUCUUUGAAUUUGGAAGUGGUUACAUUUCUCCCUCCCCAUUCCUCAGCUCUUUACCGAAACAGGGUGGGGAGAGCGCUUUGCUGUUGUUUCUACUGCUGAUUGCCCCAUUAAGAAUGGUCCUUUUUUUGUAUUUACUCAGUACACCAUUCUGUCAACAAGGCAACGAGAUGAUAGGCGUAUGCCUAAUUUACAGUUCUACCUUGGACAGAGGGCCUCCUCCCCUGAUGGUAAUCUACAGUGUCAGGCCCCUUGACUUUUUCCACAUUUUGUUAGGUUACUGUCAUAUUCUAAAAUGGGAUAAAUCCUCUGAAAUAUAUACACAGUACCCCAUAAUGACAAAGCGAAAACAGAAAUACCUUAUUUACAUAUUCAGACCCUUUGCUAUGAGACUCGAAAUUGAGCUCAGGUGCAUCCUGUUUCCAUUGAUCAUCCUUGAGAUGUUUCUACGACUUGAUUGGAGUCCACCUGCUGUAAAUUCAAAUGAUUGGACAUGA